CCUCUCGAAGAUGAAGAAUUGAUUGCCUACAUGCUGCACGGACUCGGGAGCGAGUACAACCCCUGGUGACAAGCAUCACCACCCGUGCUGACUCAUACACCAUCAGCGACAUCUACGCCCACAUGCUUAGGUUCGAAA